rnacentral:rRNA from 1 species
AAAUGCAUAGAUAUAACGAGGAACCCCAAUUGCGUAGGCAGCUUACUAAACUAUAACUGACGCUCAAGCACGAAAGCGUGGGUAUCAAACAGGAUUAGAUACCCUGGUAGUCCACGCAGUAAACGAUGAUUACUAGUUGUUUGCGAUAUACCGCAAGUGACCAAGCGAAAGCGAUAAGUAAUCCACCUGGGGAGUACGCCGGCAACGGUGAAACUCAAAGGAAUUGACGGGGGCCCGCACAAGCGGAGGAACAUGUGGUUUAAUUCGAUGAUACGCGAGGAACCUUACCCGGGCUUGAAAUGCAUCUGGCCUAUCUGGAAACAGAUACUCUAGCAAUAGCAGAUGCGUAGGUGCUGCAUGGUUGUCGUCAGCUCGUGCCGUGAGGUGUCGGCUUAAGUGCCAUAACGAGCGCAACCCACAUUGUUAGUUACUAACAGAUCACGCUGAGGACUCUAACAAGACUGCCGGCGUAAGCCGCGAGGAAGGUGUGGAUGACGUCAAAUCAGCACGGCCCUUACGUCCGGGGCGACACACGUGUUACAAUGGGAGGGACAAAAGGCCGCUACUUGGUGACAAGAUGCCAAUCCCCAAACCCUCUCCCAGUUCGGAUCGGAGUCUGCAACUCGACUCCGUGAAGCUGGAUUCGCUAGUAAUCGCGCAUCAGCCAUGGCGCGGUGAAUACGUUCCCGGGCCUUGUACACACCGCCCGUCAAGCCAUGGAAGUUGGGAGUAUCUGAAGCACGUAACCGCAAGGAGCGUUCUAGGGUAAAACCGAUGACUGGGGCUAAGUCGUAACAAGGUAACCUAAAUCGAA